rnacentral:rRNA from 1 species
UACGAAGGGGGCGAGCGUUGUUCGGAUUUACUGGGCGUAAAGGGCGCGCAGGCGGCUCGUUUUGUCAGGCGUGAAAGCCCCGGGCUCAACCUGGGAGGUGCGCUUGAUACUCGAGGGCUUGAGUGCGGGAGAGGAGAGUGGAAUUCCCAGUGUAGAGGUGAAAUUCGUAGAUAUUGGGAAGAACACCGGUGGCGAAGGCGGCUCUCUGGACCGUAACUGACGCUGAGGCGCGAAAGCGUGGGGAGCAAACAGG